AAACAUAGAAACUUAGGGAGUAAGACUGAACUGUCAGGGAGCCUGGGCCCAACCUUCCUCAGCUGACACUGAGGCUUCCUUCUGUAAGGGUCUCUCUCACAGGGGCACGGGAGAGUUCUGAGAAAGGGAGGAGCAGCCUAUUGAAGGAUCUCCCUGCAGUGAUAAGGUCAAGAGGUGAGAAGCACCGGGUGACGGUCCAAAUGCAUCAAGAGAAAGUAGAACUUCAUUGAAAUGUUUAUGGAAAAAAAAUAAACAUGAGCCAGCAAGCCAUUUGGAAACAAGAAACCAAGGAACUGUUGAACAAGACCAAGACAAGACCUAA